UAAACUCUUAUUCAUUUUAAUAGAGUGGGUUUGCCUUCUUCACUCAUUUAAGAUGAUGAAGCUUUUUUUUUUUUUUUUUUUUGGUCAGAAGUUGAUGAAGCUAUUUACAAUAGAGUUUUAAAUUUUGGCCAACCAACCUAAAAAUUAUAACUCUGCGUCGGCGGCACAAGUUGAGCUCAUAAAAGCAGUUUCGAAAAUUUGAAAUUCUGAACCUAACAAGUAAAUGACAAUUGAGGUCGGAACUAACCAGUAACGAUUAAUCAUCACUAGUCACCACCUGCCUACCUUAACCCUACAUAUCAUAUAUAUAUAUAUAUAUAUAUAUAGAGAGAGCUUCCAUUGAGGGAUCCCUCAAAUAAGCUUAUUUGAGGGACACCCCUUGUAGGCCCC
rnacentral:lncRNA from 1 species